ACGGAGUCCACGAGUAGGUCCUCGGACUGAAAGUGACUCAGUAGUCGCCGCCUCGGCAUUUAUUCUCUCGAUUCAGUUUCAGUGGUGUGCAGCGCGCUGGCUUCGGCUGGCGUUGGGCACCGUUGUUUGACAAGUGAUGAAGGCAGUAAUGAUCGUGGGAAAUGGAAUCACAUCGAGAUAUGUGGCAGUUUUGCAUAUCACUCGAAGCAGAUUUGCGCGAUUGGCUUGACCGGUUACGGGA
rnacentral:misc_RNA from 1 species